UUCGGACUGGCUCAGGGAGGUCGGCAACGACCACCCAGAGCCGGAAAGUUGGUCAAACUCGGUCAUUUAGAGGAAGUAAAAGUCGUAACAAGGUCUCCGUAGGUGAACCUGCGGAGGGAUCAUU
rnacentral:rRNA from 1 species